AGUGAACGCUGGCGGCAGGCCUAAUACAUGCAAGUCGAACGGCAGCACGGCAGAGCUUGCUCUGUGGGUGGCGAGUGGCGGACGGGUGAGGAAUACAUGGGAAUCUGCCCAGUCGUGGGGGAUAACGUAGGGAAACUUACGCUAAUACCGCAUGCGCCCUUCGGGGGAAAGCCGGGGACCUUCGGGCCUGGCGCGAUUGGAUGAGCCCAUGUCGGAUUAGCUAGUUGGCGGGGUAAUGGCCCACCAAGGCGACGAUCCGUAGCUGGUCUGAGAGGAUGAUCAGCCACACUGGAACUGAGACACGGUCCAGACUCCUACGGGAGGCAGCAGUAGGGAAUAUUGGACAAUGGGCGCAAGCCUGAUCCAGCCAUGCCGCGUGAGUGAAGAAGGCCCUCGGGUUGUAAACUGCUUUUACACCGGAGAAACCUUCCCUCGUGAGGGGAGCUGAUAGUAUGGUGAGAAUAAGCAUCGGCUAACUUCGUGCCAG
rnacentral:rRNA from 1 species